rnacentral:rRNA from 1 species
UACGUAGGGUGCGAGCGUUGUCCGGAAUUACUGGGCGUAAAGAGCUCGUAGGUGGUUUGUCACGUCGUCUGUGAAAUUCCCGGGCUUAACCUCGGGCGUGCAGGCGAUACGGGCAAUACUUGAGUGCUGUAGGGGAGACUGGAAUUCCUGGUGUAGCGGUGAAAUGCGCAGAUAUCAGGAGGAACACCAAUGGCGAAGGCAGGUCUCUGGGCAGUUACUGACGCUGAGGAGCGAAAGCAUGGGUAGCGAACAGGAUUAGA